rnacentral:rRNA from 1 species
GACGAACGCUGGCGGCAUGCCUAACACAUGCAAGUCGAACGAGAAGUUCGGGUCUAGUGGCGCACGGGUGCGUAACGAGUGGGAACCUGCACUUAGGUUCGGAAUCACUCACCGAGAGGGGUGCUAAUACCAGAUAAUGUCUUCGGGCCAAGGAUUUGUCGCUUGGGGAUGGGCUCGCGUCGGAUUAGCUUGUUGGUGGGGUAGAGGCCUACCAAGACGAUGAUGGGUAGCUGGUCUGUGAGGAUGACCGGCCACGGUGGGACUGCAAUACGGCCCAGCCUCGUCCGGGAGGCAGCGGUGGGGAGUGUUGCACUGUGGGCGGAAGCAUGAUGCAGUAAAGCCGCGUGGGGGAUGACAGCAAUCGGGUUGUAUUGCGAUUUCGCCUGUGACGAAGCGUGAGUGACGGUAAUGGGUAAAGAAGCACCGGCUAACUCCGUG